UACGGAGGGUGCGAGCGUUGUCCGGAAUCAUUGGGCGUAAAGGGCGCGUAGGUGGCCCGGUCAGUCCGUGGUGAAAGCGCGGGGCUCAACCCUGCGUCGGCCAUGGAUACUGCCGCGGCUCGAGCACUGUAGAGGCAGGCGGAAUUCCGGGUGUAGCGGUGGAAUGCGUAGAGAUCCGGAAGAACACCAGUGGCGAAGGCGGCUUUCUGGACGAUAACUGACGCUGAGACGCGAAAGCGUGGGGAGCAAACAGG
rnacentral:rRNA from 1 species